UACGAAGGGGGCUAGCGUUGCUCGGAAUCACUGGGCGUAAAGGGUGCGUAGGCGGGUCUUUUAAGUCAGGGGUGAAAUCCUGGAGCUCAACUCCAGAACUGCCUUUGAUACUGAAGAUCUUGAGUUCGGGAGAGGUGAGUGGAACUGCGAGUGUAGAGGUGAAAUUCGUAGAUAUUCGCAAGAACACCAGUGGCGAAGGCGGCUCACUGGCCCGAUACUGACGCUGAGGCACGAAAGCGUGGGGAGCGAAC
rnacentral:rRNA from 1 species